rnacentral:ncRNA from 1 species
UUUCAUUCUUUAAGCGAAAUGGGAAAACCUUACCAGCCCUUGACAUAUGAAAAACAAAACAUGUCCUUAAUAGGAUGGUACUGACUUUCAUACAGGUGAUGCAUGUCUUUCGUCAGCUCGUGUCGUGAGAUGUUUGGUCAAGUCCUAUAACGAGCGAAACCCUCGUUUGGAUCGCUCCUAUUAUUACUAACCAGGGCGAAAAUAGAUAAUGAGCAUGAGCUAACAGGGUAAACCACCGCCUCUCAGGCCUCCUCGA